rnacentral:rRNA from 1 species
UACGGAGGGUACAAGCGUUAAUCGGAAUCACUGGGCGUAAAGGGUGAGUAGGUGGCUGGGUAAGCGUGUGGUGAAAGUCCGGGGCUCAACCCCGGAUCUGCCGUGCGAACUGCCGAGCUCGAGCAAUGUAGAGGCAGGUGGAAUUUCGGGUGUAGCGGUGGAAUGCGUAGAUAUCCGAAAGAACACCAGUGGCGAAGGCGGCCUGCUGGGCAUUUGCUGACACUGAAUCACGACAGCGUGGGGAGCAAACAGGAUUAGAUACCCUAGUAGU